AGUGAACGCUGGCGGUAGGCCUAACACAUGCAAGUCGAACGGCAGCACAGUAAGUGCUUGCUCUUACGGGUGGCGCGUGGCGGACGGGUGAGGAAUACAUCGGAUUCUACUUUUUCGUGGGGGAUAACGUAGGGAAACUUACGCUAAUACCGCAUACGACCUACGGGUGAAAGCAGGGGAUCUUCGGACUUUGCGCGAUUGAAUGAGCCGAUGUCGGAUUAGCUAGUUGGCGGGGUAAAGGCCCAGCAAGGCGACGAUCCGUAGCUGGUCUGAGCGGGUGAUCAGCCAGACGGGAACUGAGACAGAGUCGAGACUCCUGCGGUGAGCAGCAGUGGGGAAUAUUGCGCGAUGGGGGAGAGCCGGAUCCAGCCAUACCGCGUGAGUGAAGAAGGCCUUCGGGUUGGAAAGCCCUGUUGUUGGUAAAGAAGAGCAGCAGGUUAAUACGCCACUGUUCUGACGGUACCCGAAGAAUAAGCACCGGCUAACUUCGUG
rnacentral:rRNA from 1 species